rnacentral:lncRNA from 1 species
CUCAUUUUUAAGUGUUUAUUUCUACAUUCUAAUAUUUGCAAUUACCUCACUGUUUUUCAGAUUCUUUUUAUUUAAGUGAGAAAUAGUUCAAAUUCUUCCUAAUAUUUGAUGAAGUGAGAAAUGUGAUUGUUAAAAAAGACAUUUUUAAAAAGCGUUCAAUUUGGUAUUCAUUUAUCAUAAUGCAGAAAGAGUUUUCUUUGCUUACAGCUUACAUAUUAUGGAUGCUUUUCAAAAAUGUAUUGUGCUCUUAUUGUCUCUUAUCAGCUUGUAUGAUAGAUUAUAAAGGUUGGUGAUUGUUGUUCCUCAGACUUCUAUAUGUUAAGCUGGCAGCAGUAAAAUGUUUUAAUGCCAUUACCUUUUAAAUAAUUGUAUUAUAUUAACAUACCACGUGUUUUCUGGGUAACUUUGAAAGAGCCAAACAAAAGUCUGUGAGAAAUAGGAAUUGAUAUUUUGUUAUUCGUGUAGUUUUUCCUCAUAAAAAUGGUUAUCCCAAAAUUAACACGUUAUCUCUUAGGGUUCACAAUAAAAGUACUCCUGCUUACUCAAAAACAGUAAAAAAAAAAAAAAAAAAUGACACUUACCAACAGUUUUGUUCAUUGUCUCAAAAGAUCUUCAUAAAUGAUCAAAUUGUCUAGUUCUCAAGAGUGGAAAAUUGUUUUCAAUAGCAAGAAUUUUAAACCUUAGUUUAAAAGUCCAGAAUUGUCUCAUGUUAGAUUCAACAUCCUAUCGUUUCCCUUUCCCUGACUCUAGUCUUAUUAAGGAGGAAGUCUAAAGAAUGGGGACACAAAAGUCACUAUUUCUUCCUGCCUUGUGUUGGCUCCUCCUGUGUAGGUUCUUUCACUGUCCGCUCUGUACAGCACCAACCCCCACCCAGCUGCUCUGUGUCAUAUCUUCCUCGGUUCUGGCCACAAUUCCCCAAUAUUACAGACCCUGCCUGACAACACAGACAUUCUCCAUCCUGGGUGGAUGACCAGACAACAGCCCCCGUCAAAUUCUCCUGCUUCUCAGUCUACCAAGAUGAGGAUGAGGCCCCAUAUCUGCCUAGGGAAGCAAAUGCUAGUAUUGUCAUCAGUUUUGCCAAACCAUAUACAUUCCUGCCACCUCUCAUGAGCCUGGUUGACACAAGGGGACCAUGGAAAACACUUUUUUUUAAUGUUGUGGAGGAAUCAAACUCACAAAUACAGAAAUAUCAGUACCAUACUCUCACCAAGUGACAAGCUCACUGUCCCCUGCAGUAUUUUGAGACUGUCUUGUGUCUCCUUAAGUCCCAGGGAAGGAACAGCCUCACUGACCACCGUGUUGAAGGAAAACCCUUGUAUCAGCUGCAGAGCAGUGUUACAAGUAAAGGAGGAGAAAGCUAAUUGUUUUUAAGGGGGGAAAAUCCUUCUGAUGACAAUUCAUCAUUUUUAAAGUAAACUUGAGCAUAGAAUAUCUUAGCCGUGCAGCUGUUGGACUCCCUCCCCUUGGGAAAUGGUAAUCCUACGUUGUGUUAGUUAUAACCGCUUUGCUCUACUCUCUCAGAUCUAAGAAAACAAAAUGUUCAAGCAUCUAAAUGGGGAGUUGGCAGAUACUGAGAGAAACUGGGCCAUGCGUAGGGCAAAGAGUCUGGUUUUUGGAGUGAGAAACCAGGUACCCUUUACCUACUGGCAAAGGUGAUGGAGCGAGGAAGCAGUUGAGGUUCUCAUCAUCGAUACACUAAGGAAGCUGAGUGCAUAAAGUUUUGAUUUUUUACACUUCAUUGUAAGUCACUGUAGUUCAUUUCUUAAUGGCUAUUUUAGAGUAUAAUUUUUUUCAGAAUUAACAAAAUAGAUAUCUGCUCAUUCUCUUUCUACAUGUUUGUAAAGCCCACCUGGUUAGUAUACCCUGGACUAGGACACAGUUAGGGCUAGAACACAGAUCGGUCUUGAAGCUCCUCUCCAGUUCACAACUCGUGUCCUGAUGUCAUUCUUUGGUUUUAUUUAGUUUCUUUCUUUAACUCAACACAUUGGAAACCAUGAGACUAAAACAAUUUCCUUUCCCUUUCUUAAGUUUAGAGGGGAUUGUUUUUAAUCUUUAGCUUCCCCGCUUAGGUAGUGAAAACUUUUUGAAUGACAGCAGUGACCUUCCCUAGGUAAAGCCACUAAAACUGAAAGCCAAAUUCCAUUCCUUUGACAAAUAUCCAUGUAUUUUCUAGGUGAAACCAGUAAAUGAACCUCACAUGAUGUUCACUACCCAUCCUUAAGCUUGGUGACUGGCCGGCUUUUUAAAAUUUUAUUUUUGGAAUACAGGCAUCUCAUAUUUUUUCUGAAGCCACACUAGCCUAAUUCCUAUUGCUUCCCCACAUUAGCCUACCCAUGUCCCAGCAAGUGGCAGUGCCUCCAGCGCUGCCUGUUUUGUGGGCAAAAGUCAUGUGAAAAAUACCCGGAAAGAUGGGUUUUAGGUUUAAGUUCACAAUCAUUUGGGAACAUUCUACACCAUUAGGUUCUGACACUCUUUAAAAAAAUUUUUUUAGUACUGACUACAUAUUUUACUGGGGGAGGAACUGAAAGGAAAAUUUGAGCCAAGUGAUGUGGUUGACUCCCUGCCCUAUGUUUGUUUGUCUCCCCAGAAAAUAGAUUAGCCCAUGUCUACCACUCAAGAGUCUUCUGAGAGUAAACAGUGAAUGUGUAUAAAUGAGAAAAAUUAUCUCAAAGAUCUAAUUUUUGGUUUAGAUAUUUUCUUCUUUUUAAACUCAGGAAUAAACCUGGUUUGUGGGUAGCAUAAUAUAGCUGUUAAAACUAAUUUGUAGGUGACUAGAGGGUCCUUUUAAAUAUAAUUUUUCUAAAGACUUCUAACUUUGUUUCAACUCGGAAGAGAAACCCUUUGAAUUAAGAAAAACAAAACAAAACAACUUCCACAAGCUCCUUCUAGGAGAGAGUAACAUCAGUCUACCAUCUUUCCCAAAGUGUUUAUUUCUUGCCUGUUGUAUCUCAGUUUUUAUGAGUGAAAAACAAGGUGCAUGUUUUUUAUUUCUUGGAAAAGUGAAUUGAGGUGUUGCAUUAAAUUUUCAAAUGAGACAACUUAAUCAAAAGAAAAGCAUUGGUUUUGGAGACAAGAACACAGGGCUGUGGUUCCUGUUCCAACCCUGACUUUACUGUGUGACCCCAAGCAAAUUAUUUAACUUCUCUGUGCCUCAAUUUCUCCAUAUAUAAAUGUGGGGAUGAUACCAACCAUUGCCUACCUCAUAGGGACAUUUGGGGGACAAAUGAGAUAAUAUAGAUAAGUAUGAAUGCUUUCACCUCUUUGGAAGAAAGGUGCUAUAUAAUUGAAGUUGUCUUGUUUCAAUGAUCCAAUUGUUAAUUAUGUUUAGGGUUUAGAUAAUAGCAAUAUUGUUAGUUAUGUUAAGAGUACCUUUCGAUUUAAUGCAUAUUUCCAGUUCUCUUCUGUGGCCACAUCUUGAUCAUCUAGUAAUGGUACCUAAGGAACUGAAAUGAGUAUUUGUUUUCUAUGUUUCUCCUGGUAGUAUUUCAAUUAUGAAUAUUCAGAAAAGCCUGGAGUUUAACUUGUAAUAUCUUAUAGUUUACAUGUAAUGAACCUUAUUCAAGCUGUAUAUAAAAAGUAUAAUUAUAGGUAAAGUAUAAUUACAAGUAAAUAGCAGGUACAUUGUAAUUAAAGGCACUUUUCACAUUGUCUUUGUUCUUUUUUAAUUGUAAUAAAGGUCGG